GUCCAGAAUAGCCUAGUGGACAUGGCAUCUUCCUGGUAAGCGGAACAUUGUGGGUUCGAUUCCCAUUCCUUGACA
rnacentral:tRNA from 1 species